CCUGCAAUAAUUCUUUAAUGCCUCUUCAUUUUCUUCUCUCUUUCAGAUAAUUUCUUGCUGUCCUCUGUAGGUUUCUCCUGUCCUUCCCAGAUUUGCAGACUGUCGAACCAUGAGAGGAUGUGCAUGUUGCAUAUUUUAUCUUCUUUUGCUCUAUUUGAGUCUUUUGGUGAUGGCUACUGGCAGAUUUGUUUCAUUCUAGGCUCGAUCUGUUGGGGUUUUUGCCAGAUUUAGCUUGAUUGGGAAUCUUCUUCCUUCUGGAACCUCCCCUCUUCUUAUACAUGUUCAGUUGGGAACCUAAGAGAAGCAGUCUUCAUCUGUUCUUUAUCGACAAGUAGGUCAUGGUAGCUUUUUUAGGUAUGGUUCCAUUCGUCAUCGACACCGCGAAGCCCGCCUACCCUUACUUGUUUGCAGACGCCUCCAUUUAUGCAACAGCGGCAACGUUGGUCCCUUCAUCUUCUGUAACAGUAGGGGCUUUAUAGGCUUUAGGCUUCUUCAUUGUGUCUUCUAUUUGUUGGGCUGGCUUUAUGCUUCUCCAUAUUUUUGGGCUUGGGCCCUUUAUUAAUGCAGUUUUUUUUAUCUUAGAUAAAAAAAUGAUAAUAGUAAAAUUAAUAAAAUAAAUUUUAUUUA